AUUACUAUUAAAAAAAACAACUAAGUGUCAAUACACAGAAGACUUUUUUGGUACAAAGUGUUACUCAGUCUGUUGGGAUUAUUGCAUAAAGACUGUGAUGUCCUGACACUGACCGCAGCUUUUGUCCUGGAGAGUCAUUCCCUUUAAAGCUACUAUAUAUUCAGUUAUGCUAAUUACAUUGAAGCCUGGACUAAUGAUUAUGCUAAAAAUGGGUAUAUACUUGAGAUUCAACAUUUGUAAACUAAAAUUGCCCAUUUUCAGUGGUGUGUUUCAGUGGUUGAAGCACUUUUUUCUUCUUUUUCAGUGACAAUCAGUAGAUCACAGCAAUUUAUCAGAUGGUUAGCAUCUCCCGCCUCUGCAAAAAAAAUCUUUGAUCAAGAUUUGUUUGGGAUUAGAACUCAUUUAAAGAUAUAAAAUCAGUUUCAUGAAAAUUCUGAAGGGGUCUGAUACAGAUCUGUUAAAAAAAAAUUGCAAUAUAUUUUUCCCAAAAAAUAUUCUACUAUUUAGGUUCCUCUCCCUUUCUUCCCCAUUUUUUCCCUUUUGCUACUGAGUGCAAUAAAAUGGAUGAUGUCCAGGUUCUUUUCUCCCAUUUUUUCAUGUUUCAUUUCUUCUUUUACUAAUGCUGUAAUUUUUCAAAUCUUUUUUAACUUUGGAAAAGUUAUAGACUGGCAAAGGGAAAAAUGAAAUGGAAUCUCUGGCAUUGUGCAACUUUUCCGAACUUGACAUCAGUGAGCAUGUUCCUGGGCAGACUGAAAGGAGUAUAUGGCCCUUUCUGUGCAAGUAUCCCAGUGUCUCUGACAGGGAUUUUUAAAAGGACCCUAAGAGAGUUCUGAGGCUAACUCCAUUAAGUAACGUCCUUGGGAUCCUUUGAAAAUCCAAGUCCAUCUCUUUCAAUAUACCAACAUUGUGUUUCAUGUUUCAAGUUACAUCAGAACACACCAGCAUCAUCAAUAGUGGACUCUGCCUUGUGGAAGGUUGAGCCUUUAUUGUGAUGAUAUAUAAUAUACAAUUUAAGGUCUCUUGCUAAUACCAAUUACUAAGAUGUGUCAAAUCAAAGCCUAGGCUUUCUUCUUGGCUUGCUUGUAAAAUAGUUCUUCUUCCUGAACUUUUGUGUGUACUGUGUUUUUUUCCAGUCUUUAAAUAUAGUCUAUAGAAAGCCACAAGAGAGAUCUGGACCCUAUACUUUGGAAGCCUAACGGAUUCUAGUGAGCAGCUGGCUUGUAAUAUGAGUCACACUGCAGACUCUCUUUUGUAUGUUUUCCUCUGAACUAAAGAGUAGGUUAUUGGAUGUCCUAUGGCAGGUGCUAUUGGAUUAAGGACAUAGCUGGCCAGGAACAAAGUUUGAAUUAGUGUUUUUUGUGUGACUAAAGUAAAUAUGAUCUGUUGGCAUAAUCCCCCUUAUCUAACAUCAGGUUCAGAUAUAAUGGUGUUGUAUUCCCCUGCAUAUUUUGCAAAUAACUGUACAAGGGUUUUUGUAUCUGCUAGUGAUAUUGAAGACUAAUGAGAAACAACAUAUAUACUGCUGCCUUAAAUCUAUCUGCUUCACUAGCUUCUACUGCAGAUGCACCCCAGAUACAGGGUGAAAAUAACUCCAGGCCUUUAUAGGAGCAAGAACUAUUUUUGGCAUCAGUGAUGCAAACUUUUACUAAAGGUGGUUGCAAAGGCAGGCUAAGUUCACUUGGUCUGAACUUUGCUAUCUUGUAGGGAAAUGGAAUUAAAGUGAUAGCUUUUCUCUGAGUUUGUAACAGAGAUGUUGUUGUCUGUGUUGAAUACAAAGCUGUAGGUAUCAGCCCAGUAGAAUACUGAGCCCUAGUCAGCCUUGAGCACAAUACAUGCAAAUCACUUCCCUUGUAGCAACCGGGCUAGAAGGGGAGGAAACGCCUGACCGAAUCUUCCUGAGAUCAGCCCUAGUGCUUCCCUGGCCUUCCAUUCUGCAACCACUUACCUCCCUCAAGACACUCUUCAUCUUCUCCAUCCCACUGCCCUUUGCUAGUUCCCCACCCCAUCUUCUCUCCCCUGCAAGACAGCCCUUCCUGAUGAUCCCUUCAACCACCCAUCCCCUCACCCUCCAAAAGUAUCUCCUAUUGCAUCAUCCCCUCUGGGCCAACCCACACCCACAAUCCCUUCUGAAGCUGCCUCAGCCAUACUCCAUAACUCCCUCUUUUGAUGGGAGUAGGUAUCAAUUUGAGCAGCCUAAGGCAGAGCUUGAGCAGCCUGUUGAGGCAUCUGCACUUGAAGGCUAGGCCUGAAGAAGCAGAUGUAGAUUCAUGUCUAAAGGAUCCAUGUCAGCCUCACAAAUCAUCCAUGUAACUCCACAAUAGGAAUUUUAUAUUAACAUGUUGUUCUUACAGCAAACAGGCCUUGUAGAUGAGGACAGGAACCUUUUCCAGCCUACAAAGUAUGGCUAAUUUGUUGUAACGGGGCAGAGUAGUGAGGCCAGCCAUGUUUUCGGAGUGAAAGAGAAAAGGUGCCUUUGUUUAGGGUUAAUUGUUUAACUUUUAAAGUCUUUAAAGGUGAUAUCUCUUUAAAACUAUGCAAAUUACAAACUCCUCCAUAAGCAAUGCACAAGUUCACCUUGGAAUGAAUGUGUAACACAGAGACCGUGCAUCACAUCCUUACAAUGAAACCCAAUACACCUGCGCUCGUGGCAUAUGCUGCCGCUCCUUCGCAGUUCGCUCUGCGGUCGAAGACUCUUAAAACUAGCCUCGUGAUACCUAUUUUUUCACCUAUUUAAAUUGCUAUGAACGCAUAGAAAAACCACUUCCCUCAACCACGCCAAAAGAAACGUACAGACGGUGGCGGUGAAAGUCUUGUGAGCCAGCACAGAGUUCUCCGUGUUUGCAGUGUAGCCCAGAACACUCAAAACAGCCCACUGCGGCAUACCACAAAGACAGACAUGAGGAUGAGGGGUAGGGAACAGUGCAGACUUCCCGAUUUACACAGUAGCUAAAUCACUCGGCCGUAUUCAGAAGCUCUCACAAUAUUUCUGGUACUUUAUUAACUGCACAUUAGAGCACAGCAUAAAAAAAUGCAUGACUAAACAGAAGAAUUCAUCAGAUACACAACAGGUGGAUAAGAGUCUACCCCAUCACUUUAUAAAGCUAUCAGUAACUGUCAUGUUAUGAAUUUAGACCGAACAGGUUCAAUGUAACUUCCAUAACCCUGUCAUCCUGGGCAAGAGUACCAUGGAUUGCACCAUUGCAAAAUAUAAUCUUUUGUCACUCACUGACUAGGCUAAAUGGAUUCAGUACUCUAAGAGAGGCCGGGUUGUCCAGUGGUUGGGAUUCUAGACUCAAAGCCAGUCUAGAUUCAAUUCCCUACUCUGCCACAGGCUUUUUGUAUGACUUUGGGCAAGUCACUUAGUCUCUGUGCCUCAGACCUCAUCUGUAAAAUGGGAUUUGUGAGGUUAAAUACAUUAAAGACUGUGAGGCGCUCAGAUACUAUGGUGAUGAGGGCCAUAUAAAUACCUAAGAUGGAUCUAAUCAGUUACUCCAGUAGAUAUUGGACACAUUCUAAGGAUCCACUGAUAUUUUGCCCCAUGCCUAAAUAGACCUUUCCUCUCAGCUGGGCCCCCUUCCCAACUAAAACUUAUUUCUUGCCUGCGUCUGAUACCCCAACUACUCCUGCUUGCUCCCAAAGAGGGUAAGCCUGGAAAAUAUUAAUGGAGAUAAUUACCCUAUCUACCCUUCUGAAAGAGGCUGGAUUACUAGUAGGGCAAUGUGGGAAGUAAGUGCUGCUGUUGCCCCUCCUCUAUUUGUUCUGUGGUGAGAGGAUUUUGAUUUCCAGUGCUCUUAAGCAGGAACCCUUCAAGAACACAAAGGCGUUAUUUAUUUGUCUAAAGAGCGCAAUGAACUCAUUUAGACAGUCCUUCGCUUUUCACACACAUUGGAGAUGGUCUGGAAUAGCCUGACUACGUAGUGAUUGCUAAGCAGCUGUUCUACAGGGUGCUUCUAAAAAGCUUGAUGAUAUAACAUGCUGCUUGGGGAUGUCUCAGCUUCUAUGAAUGGUACUAAGGACUUGUGGCACCCACCAGUGUUCUAGGAGGGAACGUAUCUGCAUUCAAAGGGUCAAGAAAUGAAAAUCCUACUCUAUAAGCUUCACCCUCCAUCAUAUAAGGUUACAGAUGGGCUAAUGCUGGACCCUCAAAUCUGAAGUCCUUAACAUUUCAAAGAGGAAGGGAGAGUUGGAUUUGAAACCUUGUAUCUGACCCUGCCUAUAAGGUAAAGGAGAGCCCAUGCAUAUUCAAGAGAGGUGGAAGUUGGUGGGGAAUGGAGGAAAAGAAGCUGGCAGAAGAGAACCUUGAGGUGGGAUGGUGGUGCAUGCAGCUUGGUUAGGAGACCUCAAAUGUUUGGACAAUUUAAAUAACUGAAGUCUGACAAAACUGAAGUCUGAACAAGGUGAGGUUCACCUAGCACUAAUUAAAAGAGAGCUGCCAUAUAUGCACAAUAGGUUUUUUGGAUGUGUAUGUAUCUAUUCUUGUCGAGUUUUUUUUUUCUCCCAAAAUCCAUCAUUGCGUUUGUUUAAAGAAAUGAUUUUUUUUAGCAAGAGGAAUAAAAUAAAAUUUAAAAGAAGCAUAUAUAUUUGUAUUCCCUAGAGAAUGCCAGUGACACUGAGUAUAAAUCAAGCCAGAAUUUUCUUCCUUCGUUAGGUGCAUUUUUAAACUGGAUGAUGCCAAGUUUCUGCAACCCCUCCUCACCCAAACCCCAAUCUAUUCCCUAACUAAGCCCUUUUGUACCAGGUUUCACCCCAGAGUGAAGUUUGCCACAGCAACACUAUUUCAGAGUGCUUUUUUUGGGGAGGGGGGGUGGCACACUACAACUCUCUGCUGCUCGGAAGAACACAUGGAAAGAUAUACGAGGAGACAGACAACUUAAAUCUGAUAUAUUUAAGUGCUGAAAUAUUGUCAGAAAAAAUGAGGUCAACUGGUAAUAUCUGCAGCCUAACAGAGUACCCAGUUUACCUUCAUCCUGUCCUAUCAUCAGCAACCGGGGAAUGAUUGUGGUGGAAUUAGUGGUGUACGUGGCUUUUGCUUUCCCACAAGAGAAAACCUAAUACUUGUGUGGCUUCACUUUCUCUGUAACUCAUCAGGGUAAACAUCAUCACAUUCACUUCUCUGGCAAUUACUAGAUGAAAUCAAAGCCAAUCACAGCUUUAUAAAGUCAGAACCAUUGAUUAGCAUUGUGGUACUGGGUUUCUUUUAAGUGUUUGCUCUUCAGAAAAUAAAAUAAAAUAAAAACUACACCAAGCAAACACCAUAUGUAUGUUUCAGCAGCAAUUAAAAGUAGCAUGUUCAGUUAGGGCUCAAUCUUGCAAGGUACAGAGCAUCUUUAACAUCCACCAGCAUCAAUGGGCAUUCAGUGUGCUUACCACCUUGCAUGAGUGCUCACCAGCUUGACUGGGGAGGCAGUGUGGCCUAGUAGAUAGAGCACUGGCCUGGGACUCAGGAAACCUAGGCUCUAGUCUUGGCACUGGUCUGGUGAGUGAUCUUGGCCAAGUCACUUGCCCCUCAGUUUCCCUACCUGUGAAAUGGAGAUAAUGUUAUUGACUUCCUUCAUAAAGCACUUUGGGAUAUACUGAUGAAAAUGCUACAAAAGAACAUUCAGCCAUUUGGAAGAAGUGCAUUUAAUGUGCAUACCUGGUGCAUUCAUCAGGGAAAGGAUGAACUGGGAUUAGCAUGAUGUAAAUGGGAAAGUAGAAAAGAAAUAGUUUCAUUAUUUUAGAAUUCUGCAAUGUUUAGCACACUAAGGUGUUUUCUUGCAUUAGCAGCCAAGUUCAUACUUGUAGCAUUUGCUUAACAGAAUAAAGACAUGUGAACUGAAGGGAGGAAGAGAAGAAAAUGUAUACUUUAUAUUGGCUAGUCAAGCACCUUGACAAAUGCCUUUACUGUCAGCUCAAUGGGCAGCUCUCUCUAAUAUUCCACUAUCAAAACCACUUCACCAACCCUGUUUCUGUUCUCCCCUACGAGCCCUUACAUACACACACAUUCUUGACUGAUUGCUCCAUCCUCUACCCUCCCCAUCAAAACUAGAAGUCUUUGAAAUGCUAAACACAACGUAAAACAAAUUUUUAAAAAAUCACAGCAGCAAAAUAUGGUCAUAACCUCUCAGAAUCACCCCGCACAUCCCUGUGAUUUGUCAUACAACCCUGAGUCAGGGGAGCAUGUUGGCAGCUCUAUUACAGUGGUUUCCGCCCACUGUCAUAUUGGGAUGAAUGCCAAAUUACUUUGUUCCACCCAGCUUUUGGGUCUCCAGGAGCCUGCCCUGAGAAAUAUAUCCAAAGAAAAGUAAUCUUCAUACUAAAGAAUCACAUUCUGCACAAAAAUAGUCAAUGCAAUUUCAGACUACAAACCACUGACUUGUCAUCCCAAAGCAAUGAGCUAAUCAUCUCUCUUGAUAUAAAUCAAGUACAGUUGUACCUGGAAUAUCAGGCCAGGUUCUCUGUGCACUGCACACACUUUGUGUCACUCUGAUGGUGCAAAGGGAGCAGACUGGCUACAUUCCCCUAGCUGGGGAUUGCCUGGCCAUUGCAUAGCCCCCCGUUAGCCUCUGGCAUACAGGGCAUGUCUGGAGCAUUGCACUUUAACAGUCCCCACAUGGAGGGCGAGCCCAGGCAGAUCAUCACCAGCUGUUGGAAUGUAGAACAACCUCCACAGGGAGCCACAGCUAGUGCCAAAGUGGCCUCAGAAUCAGGGAGCUACAACUGGUUUCCUAACAAUCAUCUGUCUCUGGAGCUCCCACCAAUGAGCACAGCAGGCUGUUAGUGCUGGCUCCUUUUGACCAGAAAGACAAUUUGGAGGGAGUUUAAAAGAGGGCAACAAUGGUGGUCAGGAGGCUGCAGGAGAAAAUUAAAGGUGUUGUUGGGGGAGAGAAUAAUUUGUAGGGGAAGAGGUACUUUUACACUUCUUCAAACAUUUGUUAAACGGAUGUGAGCGCUAUUCAAAAUAAUUUAUCUUUCUGUUUCGUUUCAAGCUGCACGUGUGCUUCAGUCUUUGCAGUAUCAAUGUGUCUGCUUGGAUGGUAUGCACCUGUUGCCUGUCCUUUCGCAUUGGUCCCUUUUCUAGAUUGUAAACUCUUUGGUGUAGGAACUAUGUCCUCCUCCCUAUAUGAUUGCCCAGCUUCUAGGAUCCAGGGUCCAGAUCUAGAGCUGGCUGAAACAGACUAAAAGGUCUUUGAGGAACAUUUGAAAAUUCCAAAAUGGAUUGUUUCAUGGGGUUCAAAUUUAAACCCUUUUGCGUGGAAUUUAUUGGUUGGUCAGUCCCUCCCCCCAAAGUAUAUUGAUUUUUUGUUAAAAUAGUUUUCAACAUCAUGAGCCAAAAUGUAUUUUCUGAAAGGUGCAUUUCUAUACUGAAAACAAAAAUUCCCUAUGCUGAAUUUGAAACUGA